GCUCUUGAAAUCUUUUUAAUUCAUUUUUAAACAUAUUUCGAGCAAAAUUUUAAGUUUCAUUUAGGCAAUCUAAAUUCAAUUCUGCAGGUUUUCAAUCAUGGCGUGGUUAUGCACAUUUAUUUUAGGCUGCAUUCUUGGAUACUAUGCCGGUCACAACUCAUUCAACAGCAUUUGAGGCAAAGAAUCACUUAUAAUGAAGAUUGACUGCAUAGUAAAUUCAGCGAUUUGCUACGUCAAUUUCUAACAUUAAAGAUUUAAUAUCACUGAAUAUUAUGGAGCAAUUUUUAGAGAAAAAUUGUUAAUUAAACAGAUUAAAAAAAAUUCCACAGUGUUUAUUACUUAUCAUGGACUUGGACUGGCUGUGCACAUUUGUAUUGGGCUGUAUUCUUGGUUAUUUGGUUGGCUACAACUCAUAGGUCAAUAUUGAUGGCCAAUAGGUGCGAUUAAUGAAGAUUGACAACAAGGUAAAGAGAAAGCACAACAAGUCACAUAGACUUUGCCUUCAUCGAAUAAAAGCAAUUUAUUCGAUCAAAAUUUAGUCUAUUUUGUAGACAAGCUCUACAAUUGUGCAAUAAAUUAACCUGUAACUUGACAAAAGGCUAAUCAUACGAAUACAUCCCAUACAACCAUGAGUCACGUUAUAUCUUAUGCACUUGGCUUGAUUACCGGCUUAUUGUUGUGCAAACGGCGUUGCUGACCAUGGUAAUCACAAAAUGGACUUAAAUUCAAGAUUUGAUAUAAGAGAAGAAAAGCCAUCCAAAUAAAAUUGUAAAUAAUAGAAAAUAAAAAAACAAUGAAAUA